rnacentral:rRNA from 1 species
ACGACCUCAGCUCAAGCAAGAUUACCCGCUGAACUUAA